CCAGGUUCUAGAAGACCACGGAUGUCACACACUAUGGCUGUGUUCUUAGAUUGGAUCCCAGGUUCCAACGCUGUGGCUGGCCUUGGAGAAGCAGAGGGGCAGGAACCCACUGCCAGGACCUGGACAGACCCAACCUUGUCCUCCCUGGAUCCCACAGGCCCCUCUUCCCUGCCUCUCCCUGAUGCUGGCGGCUCGGGGAUGCUGCUGAGAGAGGCUGGUCCCCAGCUCUGAGAGGCUUCAAGGCAUCACCAUGGAGACGCUCCAGGCCGCCAGCCACACAAAAGGAGCUGUGAGUUCCCCAGCUCACCUGGGACUCCGAGCUAACGAGGAGGUGGCAAAAGUGUUUCAUUUUCUCUCCUUGUUCUCUUACAAAAAGAAAGAGGCAAUUUACACAGACAAAUAAACCCCACCCUGCCCUGAAAGGAAGCUGCUAAGCCUGUCCUUCCAUGGUGACUGGCCUCCUGAGAGAAGAAAGGAGAAGCCUGGGCCUGGAAGUCUACAAUGGGACAUUCGCAGGAAAGAAAGGGGGAUGGAGGGACCAACAGGAAACCUAGGGUUGGCCCCCUUCUCCUACCCAAAUAGAGAGGCCAGCUCAGAGCCAAGUGUAUGAGUGUUGCCCUCCAGAUACAGUUAUCAAAAGUUCCUCCAGCAAAGAAGCUACUUCUGGCUCCAUGGAGCCGCCUCCUGGUCCCUUGACGGGAAUACUCUUGACCGCUCUGUUGGUGACCGUGACAAACCCCAGACAAACCCCAGCACCUAAAGCUCAAGGCAGAGAAGCAAGGAUCUCACAGGCUAAGAAAUAUACCUGCCUUCUGAUCCGGAGUUCCAUUUAAAGGAUUAUGCUAUAAAAGCCUUACUUAUCCUGCAAAAAGACAAAUGCAUAAGGAUGUUCAAUUCAGCAUUGUUUAUAGUAAUAAAAAAUGGAAACUCAUAAAUAUCCA